rnacentral:rRNA from 1 species
AACGAACGCUGGCGGCAGGCUUAACACAUGCGAGUCGAACGGGCCCUUCGGGGUCAGUGGCAGACGGGUGAGUAACGCGUGGGAACGUGCCCUUCAGUUCGGGAUAACCCAGGGAAACUUGGGCUAAUACCGGAUACGUGCGAGAGCAGAAAGAUUUAUCGCUGAAGGAUCGGCCCGCGUCUGAUUAGCUGGUUGGUGGGGUACUGGCCCACCAAGGCGACGAUCAGUAGCUGGUCUGAGAGGAUGAUCAGCCACAUUGGGACUGAGACACGGCACAAACUCCUACGGGAGGCAGCAGUGGGGAAUAUUGGACAAUGGGCGCAAGCCUGAUCCAGCCAGGCCGCGUGAGUGAUGACGGCCUUAGGGUUGUAAAGCUCUUUCGCACGCGACGAUAAUGACGGUAGCGUGAGAAGAAGCCACGGCUAACUUCGUGCCAGCCGCCGCCGUAAUAC